rnacentral:rRNA from 1 species
UACAGAGGUCUCAAGCGUUGUUCGGAUUCAUUGGGCGUAAAGGGUGUGUAGGUGGCGCGCUAAGUCGGGUGUGAAAUUUCGGAGCUUAACUCCGAAACUGCAUUCGAUACUGGCGUGCUUGAGGACUGGAGAGGAGACUGGAAUUCAUGGUGUAGCAGUGAAAUGCGUAGAGAUCGGGAGGAACACCUGUGGCGAAAGCGGCUCACUGGACCACAACUGACGCUGAUGCGCGAAAGCUAGGGGAGCAAACAGG